CAUAUCAAUAAGCGGAGGAAAAGAAACUAACAAGGAUUCCCCUAGUAACUGCGAGUGAAGCGGGAAAAGCUCAAAUUUAAAAUCUGGCGGUCUUUGGCCGUCCGAGUUGUAGUCUGGAGAAGUGCUUUCCGCGCUGGACCGUGUAUAAGUCUCUUGGAACAGAGCGUCAUAGAGGGUGAGAAUCCCGUCUUUGACACGGACUACCAGUGCUUUGUGAUGCGCUCUCAAAGAGUCGAGUUGUUUGGGAAUGCAGCUCAAAAUGGGUGGUAAAUUCCAUCUAAAGCUAAAUAUUGGCGAGAGACCGAUAGCGAACAAGUACCGUGAGGGAAAGAUGAAAAGCACUUUGGAAAGAGAGUUAAACAGUACGUGAAAUUGCUGAAAGGGAAACGCUUGAAGUCAGUCGCGUCUGCCGGAACUCAGCCUUGCUUUUGCUUGGUGCAUUUUCCGGUUGACGGGCCAGCAUCGAUUUUGACCGUCGGAAAAGGGCUAGGGAAAUGUGGCACCUUCGGGUGUGUUAUAGUCUCUAGUCGCAUACGACGGUUGGGAUCGAGGACCGCAGCGCGCCGCAAGGCAGGGGUUCGCCCACUUUCGCGCUUAGGAUGCUGGCAUAAUGGCUUUAAACGACCCGUCUUGAAACACGGACCAAGGAGUCUAACAAACCUGCGAGUGUUUGGGUGGUAAACCCGAGCGCGUAAUGAAAGUGAAAGUUGAGACCUCUGUCGUGGAGGGCAUCGACGCCCGGACCUGACGUUCUCUGAAGGAUCCGCGGUAGAGCAUGUUUGUUGGGACCCGAAAGAUGGUGAACUAUGCCUGAAUAGGGUGAAGCCAGAGGAAACUCUGGUGGAGGCUCGUAGCGAUUCUGACGUGCAAAUCGAUCGUCAAAUUUGGGUAUAGGGGCGAAAGACUAAUCGAACCAUCUAGUAGCUGGUUCCUGCCGA
rnacentral:rRNA from 1 species